CACAUCUUGAGACCACCAGAUGGUUCAUAGCAAGUGCCAGUAUUCAUCUAGCUAAGACUACCAGCUGUUGUAAGCCGACUGAAACAACGCAUAGCUGAACACCGCAGCUCAAUCAGGUGUAAGAACACUGACUAUCCAUCCAGUAGCAGCUCACUUUGUUGAAGCUAACCGUCCCAUCUCCUCCCUCAAAUACGCAGCAUGGGGCAUGUUGCUCUACCAAGGAGAGGAGGUAACAUGGAGGUCCUACUACUACAGAGGAGAGGUAACAUGGAGAUCCUACUACUACAGAGGAGAGGUAACAUGGAGAUCCUACUACUACAGAGGAGAGGAGGUAACAUGGAGGUCCUACUACUACAGAGGAGAGGAGGUAACAUGGAGGUCCUACUACUACAGAGGAGAGGUAACAUGGAGAUCCUACUACUACAGAGGAGAGGUAACAUGGAG
rnacentral:lncRNA from 1 species